rnacentral:rRNA from 1 species
AGAUUGAACGCUGGCGGCAUGCCUUACACAUGCAAGUCGAACGGCAGCACGGGAGCAAUCCUGGUGGCGAGUGGCGAACGGGUGAGUAAUACAUCGGAACGUGCCCAAUCGUGGGGGAUAACGCAGCGAAAGCUGUGCUAAUACCGCAUAAGAUCUACGGAUGAAAGCAGGGGAUCGCAAGACCUUGCGC